GGGGAGUGACAGAGCGGCUUCAGCGGGCACCAGGGGUCCAGCUGGGGUCAACCCACCACAACUGCUACAGAAGUCGUUAGAGAGAAAGAAACCACAAAACCUGAAGUAAAAGGAGCUCGUGAAACCAGGUCUGCUCAAGGCUGCCUUCGCCCUGAGCUGGGGCAGAAUGUGCUCCUGCAACGCCGCUUCAACACUUACCGCUGUGGUUAGCCACGCUGAAGGAGUGCCCGGGAUCGACGCACGGCUACCGUUUCCAUCCGCGGCUCGGCUCGGUCCUCGUCAACUCACCCGGUGGCACGGGAACCGGCGCUGCUAUAUUUUUGGAGCAUCCUGACCUGCUUCAUUUCAGUCAUUUCUCUUCUCCAUCUGCUUUGUAUUCCUUCAUUUCUCCUUGGAAGGUUUUGCAAACUCAGAUGCAAUUUGAUGUAUAUUUGUAGGAGCGCAGUUAACAGAUCUCCUUAUCAGACACCAGUUUCAGUGACUUAAUGAUGCUACUGAUAAAAGGGUGAGUACAGACUGGCCAAAUCUCACUGGUUUCAACCAUCUUCCAAAAGAAAUUUUUCAUUAUGAAACAUUGUGGAAAUUGCUUACGCCAAUCCCAUGGAAAGAAGUGGAAUAACCCACUGGCAAAUUCUUCCUAUCUGAGUCUAUUUGCUCAAAAAUUGACCUGUUAAACAAGAAGAUGUCAGGCUGACACAGGCAGGUCUCUCUGCCGAGCCAGUGCCAUGAGAUACGCUCCUUUUCGAGGAAGAUGGUGAUUUCUCCCAGGUUUGGGGCUCUCCUUGGGGUCUACCAGUGCUGCACCGAUGUCCGGCAGAGGAAUCAUCUCUCCAUGAAAUCGCACCACAUCAAGAAACUGGAGGCCCCUCCAGGAGUCCUAAUUCCCUAAAAUUUCCUGAGGAUGUUGAAGCUCUGGAGCAGUGUGGAGUUGGCUAUGAGCAGCCUCUGCAAGAGGAGGCGCAGCCCUCCGUGGAUGUUUGAGCACCCGGCGGGUUUAUCAAUACAAAACCCAGCUCAGAGAGAGGGGGAUGAGGAUGAUGGUUAAUCUGUUUGGGGAUCAACGGAGGUUGCUGGCACCUGAGGGGAGGAGCAGCACGUGUUGGGCUCUGCUGUGUCAGGGGUGACCGGAGUGCUUGCAGCAAGUGAUAAAAUUGGGUAGUUUCUCCCAAGUUUGAUGCAAUAGGUGGCAAACAGAGAAAGAAAUGGGAAUGACAGGAUGAGAGAUCACAUAUGCUCAGGGAAAGGGACAUAGCAGGAAAGGUGAUAAAUUGGUGAAAAAAAAGUAAACCAACCCAAAAGUCUCUCCGCUGAGAGAGAGGAGGACUGUCCCUGGGAAGUUACAACUCACUCCCAAGCGGAGCGUUUGUCUCCAAGCAUCGCUGGUUUCUCAGUGUCCAAAAAGUUUCUUGGUUUUGUGAGUCUUUUGUAAGGAUGGGUGCAGAAGAAACUAGUGAUCCUGCCUCCCCCACACCCCAAACCACCCUAAAGUCCAGUGAAUAAAAUUCCUGAUGUGAAACUCUGCCUGGGCUGGCUUUUAAGAGGAGACAGUGGAUUUUGGCAUAAUCAUCAAAUUAUUAUAAUAUCAUAAUAUUAUGUUAUAUAAAAUAUAGUUAUUAUAGAUUGAGCUCUGAAUGCAAGAGCCAGGCUCACCCUUGGUUGUGCUCUUCUGCAUCCCUCUGCACCCAAGCCAAGCUCCGUACAGGCUGCAAGAGCCUGGGCUGGAGGCAGCUGUGCCCUGCUCUGUAUCCUCUGCACCACACAAAUCCCAUUCCCGAGGAUGUGAUGCCUUGGGUACCCACGUCCCGCUGGCCAUUUGCAUUUUUCCAUCGUGCUGGAAAUGUCUCCACCGUGCCGAUUUGGUCCCUGGCUCUGCUCUCAGCAAAACGCAACGGGAGCAAGAGCAGCCACCCCAGGCAGACUUGUCUUAGUCCUGAGGAAGCCUCAAACCCUGUUGCCCCACCUCACAGCACCCUCCCCCACGUCCUUGUUCAUCUGAAUAAAUUUGGGUAUGUACAUCUUUUCAUGGGGAAAAAUAAAAUAUGAGGCUUAAAAGAGGUUCAGAACAUCUUUUUUUUUUUUUUUCUAACAGUGAGGUCCAUGCUGGCCACAGGCUUGAAACGAGCUGGGAUCUACCUUUCUGAACUGAAAUCGUGAGGAUUACUCACACGUUGAAAAAUACGCCUGUGUUGAAAUUCCCUUGUUGGAUUAAGACCUAAACCCUGCAAUUGUCACUUUUCCCACCAGAGGAAAGUGCCAGUGGCUUAACUAAAUAUACUGUCCUCAUCAUGGCCUGCCAUUUCCAGUUUGUUUCUCUUUCCCCUUUUACUGGAACUCCUCCACGUUUCUGUAAGUUUAUUUUAUUUUUCGGUUGGUUUACUUUUUUUUCACCAAUUUAUCACCUUUCCUGCUAUGUCCCUUUCCCUGAGCCAUAUGUGAUCUCUCAUCCUGUCAUUCCCAUUUCUUUCUCUGCCUGUUUGCCACCUAUUGCAUCAAACUUGGGAGAAACUACCCAAACUACAAAUAGUGGACAAAAUAAAGCCAAAUUCGCUCUGGA